rnacentral:rRNA from 1 species
UUUAAUUUAAAAAUUAAUUAAUUUUUACUUUUUAAUAAAAAAAUUUUUAAAUUAAUUUAAAUUUUGUUUUAGUAUAUUUUAUAGAAAAAAAUUUAAAAAUUUAUAGUAAAUAAGUAUUGUGAAAGAAUUUUGAAAUAUUUGAAAAUUUAUUUUUUGUAAAGUAAAUUUAGUUUAUUGUAUCUUGUGUAUCAGAGUUUAUUAAUAAAAGUUUUUAUGAAAAAAUUUCUCGAAUUAAAAAGAGUUAUUAAGUUAUAAAAUUUAUUGUUUCAUAAAUAUUUUUAAUAACUUAAUUGAAAUGAAAUGUUAAUCGUUUUUUAAGAUAUCUAGUUUUUUUAGAAAAAAAUUUAAUUUUAAAUUUUGAAAAUUAAAUAAUUUUUUAUUUAAUUAUUUAAUUUAAAAUUUUUAUACUUUAAGGGAUAAGCUUUAAAUUAAAUUUUUAUAAGAAAAUAUAUUUUAUAUAAAAAUUUUAUAAUUUAUAUUGUUAAAUAAAUUUUAAUUUAUUAUAAAUAAUUUUAUAAAAGAGAAAAAUUUAAAAUAUUUCUUUAAUUUUUUAUAAAAAAGUAAUUAGAAAUAAAAUAUUUUUAGUUAUAAUGAUAAAAUUAGUAUAUAAAGUUAGUUUGAAUUAUAAAAUAAAUUUAUAAGAAAAUUAAUUAAAAAGAAUUCGGCAAAUUUAUUUAAAUUAUAUUCACCUGUUUAUCAAAAACAUGUCUUUUUGUUAAUAAUUUAAAGUCUAAUCUGCCCACUGAUUAAGGAAUUGAAGGGCUGCAGUAUUUUGACUGUACAAAGGUAGCAUAAUCAUUAGUCUCUUAAUUGGUGACUUGUAUGAAUGAUUGGAUGAGAUAUAGGCUGUUUCUUAAUUAUUUAUAAAAUUUAAUUUUUUUAUUAAAAAGUAAAAAUAAAUUUAAAAGACGAGAAGACCCCAUAGAGUUUUAUAUAAAAAAUAGUUUAUAAAUUAUAUUUAAGAAUUUAAUUAGAAUUAUUUUUUAUAUUUUAUUGGGGUGAUAAGAAAAUUAAAUAAACUUUUUUAUAUUUUUUCCACAAAUAAGUGAUUAUAUGAUCCAUUAUUAAUGAUUAAAAGAAAAAAUUACCUUGGGGAUAACAGCGUAAUUUUUUUUUUUAGUUCAAAUAGGAAAAAGAGUUUGCGACCUCGAUGUUGGAUUAAGAUAAAAUUUAAAUGCAAAAGUUUAAAAUUUUGAUCUGUUCGAUCAUUAAAAUCUUACAUGAUCUGAGUUCAAACCGGUGUAAGCCAGGUUGGUUUCUAUCUUUAAAUUAGUAAAAUAUUUUAGUACGAAAGGAUCAAAUAUUUAAAAUAAUUUUUAUUAAAAGAAUUUUAUUAAUUUAUUAUUAAAUUAAUUAAUUAUUAUUGUAUUAAUUAAUUAUUUUUAU